UUUGAAGUGACAGAAUAAAUCUACAGAGACGAGGCUCAGGAUAACAUUUCAGAGCUGAGAGCAGGCAGGCACAUACACACAGACAAACAGAGCCACAGCUGAGUGAGAGACAGACAGAUAUACAGAACAUCCACAGAGAGAUAAGAGUUGGAGUCAUUGUCAUGUUGGUGGUGUUACUGAUCCUGCAUGCCGUGUCCUGUGCCCAUUCUCACGGGUCGCCGGGUGCCGCUGUGCCUGUGAAGCAGUGUCCGUCUGCUUGCCAGUGUGAGGAGGAUGGCAUCCUGCUUCUGGUGGACUGCUCCGAACAAGGACUAUCCAGCGUGCCAACUGAUCUGAGUCCUUUGACGUCUUACCUGGAUCUCAGCAUGAACAAUAUCAGCGAGAUUCAGCCCAACGCUUUCCGCAACCUGCACUUCCUCAGUGAACUGUGAGUAUGAGCA
ensembl:processed_transcript